CGCAGCGUUUACACACCAGCGUCCGCGUUGGGUCGCGGGCGAGCGCACGGCGGGCGGUGCGACCCGAGCACUUAGCCCUUAGUAAGUUUAUUACUUCUCCACCUGCCAUGUGAUCUCCAUGAAUGCAGUGGGCCCUGCUUUAGAAGAAGGGCAAAAGAAGGUCUAGAGUAAGAAUGACAUAAAAUGAAAAAAGCAUCAAUGUGAGUUUCAAAUGUGGCAAGAAAAGAAGGGCUGCUGGUUAUGAUUGCCUGAGUUCAGGAUUUCAUGUUGGAAGGACAGUUAAAUGUAAACUUAUUUUCUUAAUUCCAAGAAGUAUUUCUUCUUGGGAAAUUUUCAAUCAAGGAGUUUGUUGAAAAGAAAUAUGCUUCGUGAGUCAACUGCAGUCUCUUCUCUACAUUAGUCUUAAGACUACUAGCAGAAUAGAAGCAAAUUAAAGUGAAGGCUUAUAUACAGCACAAGAAAACAAAGACAUGGAGUUUUGAGGAGUAAAGGUAGCAUGGUGUCGGCCAUGGGUGAUCAGGACACAGCCAGACAAUGUGGACCAUUUUCUUCAAACUACGAUUUUUUUGCUGUCUACUUGCAGUGCUGAUGGUGGUGGUGGUGGUUAUUAAUGUUACUCAGGUAGAGGUGAGUACCCAGUAUACUCCUACAUAAACAAAGAAUCCAGGUCUGGGGCUUGGGGCUAAGAAGCCUGAGGAGAUGUUGGUCACCUGGAAGCUUAUCCUACUAACAGUUCUUUUUAUUUAUUUAGUAAGUAUUGGAAUAUGUCCAGGGGUCACAUAUUGUGCCAGUCACCGAGGAUAUAGCAAUGAAGAAGACAAUAGGAUUUCUCUCUUUUUUUGUGUGUGUGUGACUGGGAUUUGAAUUUAGGGCUUUGUGCUUGCAAAGCAGGCAUUUUUACGUUACUGCUUGAU